rnacentral:rRNA from 1 species
AGGCGGCAGGCCUACACAUGCAGUCGAGCGGAGAGAGGUAGCUUGCUACUGAUCUUAGCGGCGGACGGGUGAGUAAUGCUUAGGAAUCUGCCUAUUAGUGGGGGACAACAUUUCGAAAGGAAUGCUAAUACCGCAUACGUCCUACGGGAGAAAGCAGGGGAUCUUCGGACCUUGCGCUAAUAGAUGAGCCUAAGUCGGAUUAGCUAGUUGGUGGGGUAAAGGCCUACCAAGGCGACGAUCUGUAGCGGGUCUGAGAGGAUGAUCCGCCACACUGGGACUGAGACACGGCCCAGACUCCUACGGGAGGCAGCAGUGGGGAAUAUUGGACAAUGGGCGCAAGCCUGAUCCAGCCAUGCCGCGUGUGUGAAGAAGGCCUUAUGGUUGUAAAGCACUUUAAGCGAGGAGGAGGCUACUUUACUUAAUACCUAGAGAUAGUGGACGUUACUCGCAGAAUAAGCACCGGCUAACUCUGUGCCAGCAGCCGCGGUAAUACAGAGGGUGCAAGCGUUAAUCG